UACGUAGGGGGCAAGCGUUGUCCGGAAUCAUUGGGCGUAAAGAGCGUGUAGGCGGCCCGAUAAGUCCGCUGUGAAAGUCCAGGGCUCAACCCUGGGAUGCGGGUGGAUACUGCCGGGCUCGAGUCCGGAAGAGGAGAGUGGAAUUCCUGGUGUAGCGGUGAAAUGCGCAGAUAUCAGGAAGAACACCCGUGGCGAAGGCGGCUCUCUGGGACGGUACUGACGCUGAGACGCGAAAGCGUGGGGAGCGAACAGG
rnacentral:rRNA from 1 species